rnacentral:lncRNA from 1 species
AGUGCGUGUAUAUAGGAUUGAGCUCCCGUGCUUUUAAGUUAUUGGUAUUUGUAUAUUUUUUUACCAUUAAAUUAAGGGAUAUACGAUUGAAUAAUAUAAUCUAACGGAUAAAAAUGAUCGAAAGAAUUAACAGUAAAAAAAUUUACAAGCAGCAUAACUGAACUCUCUCUUUCUCUCUCCAUAUAUAUAUAUAUACACAUACAUACACACUUUGGAAAAAAUGCAUGGUGUCGUAAUCUAUAUAACGUUGUAUCACUUUCAUAUUAGCAACAUGUUAAUAUUUAGUAAACUAAAUCGAGUUGUGUAGGCUGAUUACAAUAAUUUAAAGUUUUAGUACCAAAUUAAAGUGUGAUUUAGUUUUUUUUUUCUUUUUUAAAAAAUAGAUUUUAUAAGAUUGAAUG